CACAACUAAGGUUGGCAGCAGGCGCGCAAAUUGCCCAAUAGCAACACAUCGCUGAGGCAACGAAGAGAAAUAGCAACUUCAUGUGGCCCUGCCAUGUGAAGAUUGCCAUGGACGAUAUCUAAACCUGUCGGUGAGUAUCAAUUGGUGGACAAGUCUGGUGCCAGCACCCGCGGUAAUUCCAGCACCAAUAGCGUAUAUUAAUGCUGCUGCUGUUAAAAAGCUCGUAGUUGGAUCAAGAGUUGGACAGUGCACGGUGGCCCCAUUUGUGUAGCUGGCUCCGGUCAGUUAUACGGUGGCGGAACAACCCCGUGCGCCAAACUGUCCACUCUAACAGACCGAAGCGGUUCCCUGUGAGUAGGCUCCUUAAUUGGGGCUGAAAGCGCCUACGCAUCAACCAUAUGCAUACGGGACGUCGGUCAAAGUUACUGUGAACAAACCAGCGUGUCCAAGGCAGGCUUUCGCCUGAAUGUUCGAGCAUGGAAUAACAAGGGAUCGAUUCUCUCGGUUCUUUUUGUUGGUUUUUAACCCGAGAAGGAGAAAUUCAGGCCACGGUGUCUGAGUUGGGUUUCCCAGGGCUUCGGCUCUGGCCCCAAUUAGGCCGUGUCCUUACGGGAUCAAUAGGGACUGACGGGGUCGUACCUACUUCCGCGUCAGAGGUGAAAUUCUUAGAUCGCGGGAAGAGGAACUUCAGCGAAAGCAUUCGACAAGAAUGUCUUCAUUAAUCAAGAACGAGAGUGUGGGGAUCGAAGAUGAUCAGAUACCGUCGUAGUCCACUACUGUAAACAAUGCCGUCUCAGAAUUGAGAAGUGAACAGAAUGACUUUCACAGCACUAACCCCUGAAACGAGAAAUCAAAGAUUAUGGGUUCAGGGGGGAGUACAUUCGCAAGGCUGAAACUUAAAGGAAUUGACGGAAUGACACCACAAGGCGUGGAGUAUGCGGCUUAAUUUGACUCAACACGGGGAAUUUUACUAGGUCAGGACAAUGUAAGGAUUGACAGAUUGAGAGCUCUUUCUCGAUCCAUUGUGUGGUGGUGCAUGGCCGCUCCUGGUUGGUGGAGUGAUUUGUCUGGUUGAUUCCGUUAACGAACGAGAUCUCGACCCUUAAAUAGGUGCGCAUGUCGAUUGUAGCUUCACCUCCGCCAGCUUGCUGGAUUGGAGUGGGGCGAGACUGUGCGAAUACUUCUUAGGGGGACUGUGUGCGCCUAUAGCACGCGGAAGAGCGAGCCAAUAGCAGGUCUGUGAUGCUCCUAAAUGUCCUAGGCUGCACGCGCACUACACUGAUGCAAUAAACGAGUCUGAGUGCCUUCUGGCAACCUACCUGGAAGCGGGUGGGAAAUCUUUUGAACUUGCAUCGUGAUGAGGAUCGACGAUUGCAAUUAUUCUCCUUGAAUGAGGAAUGCCUAGUAGGCACAAGUCAUCAGCUUGUACUGAUUACGUCCCUGCCAUUUGUACACACCGCCCGUCGUUGCUACUGAUUGGCUGUAGGGUAGAGAUCGGCGGAUUUUGGGCAGUUGGGGCAACUCUUCUGUCUAGGAGAAACCUAUCAAUAUUCUGCAGCUAGAAG
rnacentral:rRNA from 1 species